rnacentral:rRNA from 1 species
CAUGCAAGUCGACCGAGAUUAAGUAGGCUUGCUGGUAUAAUUUAGUGGCGAACGGGUGAGUAACGCGUAGAUGAUCUACCCUUGGGUGGGGGAUAGUCCUGCGAAAGUGGGUUUAAUACCGCAUAAAGUAUGUUGCUUGGAAGGUGGCAUAUGAAAGGCUUUGGUUGCCUGAGGAUGAGUCUGCGUACCAUUAGUUAGUUGGUAGGGUAAGAGCCUACCAAGGCGAGGAUGGUUAGCCGGUCUGAGAGGAUGGUCGGUCACAUUGGGACUGAGAUACGGCCCAGACGGGUACGGGAGGCAGCAGCUAAGAAUCUUCCGCAAUGGGCGAGAGCCUGACGGAUCGACGCCGCGUGGACGAAGAAGGCCCUUUGGGUUGUAAAGUCCUUUUCAUAUAGAAGAAUGCUAGAUGUAGGUUUAGUUGACGGUAUAUAUGGAAUAAGCCCCGGCUAAUUACGUGCCAGCAGCCGCGGUAAUACGUAGGGGGCGAGCGUUGUUCGGAAUUAUUGGGCAUAAAGGGCGCGUAGGCGGUCUUUCAAGUUAUAGGUGAAAACGUCAGUGCUUAACCAUUGAUCGUGCCUAUAAAACUGGAGGACUAGAGUUUAGGAGAGGAUGCCGGAAUUCCUGGUGUAGGGGUGGAAUCUAUAGAUAUCAGGAGGAACCACUGUGGCGAAGGCAGGCAUCUGGGCUCUGACCUGACGCUGUGUUCGAAAGCGUUGGGAGCGAACAGGAUUAAAUACCC